CGGAUCGGACUGAUGCAGAUAGCUAUUAUGACGUUAGCAUCCGCUAAGAAAGGAUUUUUGAAAAUUCAACCCAUAAGGGGGUUUAAU